rnacentral:rRNA from 1 species
GACGAACGCUGGCGGCGUGCCUAAUACAUGCAAGUCGAACGCAUUUUCUUUCACCGUAGCUUGCUACACCGAAAGAAAAUGAGUGGCGAACGGGUGAGUAACACGUGGGUAACCUGCCCAUCAGCGGGGGAUAACACUUGGAAACAGGUGCUAAUACCGCAUAAUUCCAUUUACCGCAUGGUAGAUGGGUGAAAGGCGCUUUUGCGUCACUGAUGGAUGGACCUGCGGUGCAUUAGCUAGUUGGUGGGGUAACGGCCUACCAAGGCUGCGAUGCAUAGCCGACCUGAGAGGGUGAUCGGCCACACUGGGACUGAGACACGGCCCAGACUCCUACGGGAGGCAGCAGUAGGGAAUCUUCGGCAAUGGACGCAAGUCUGACCGAGCAACGCCGCGUGAGGGAAGAAGGUUGUCGGAUCGUAAAACUCUGUUGUUAGAGAAGAACAAGGAUGAGAGUGGAAAGUUCAUCCCUUGACGGUAUCUAACCAGAAAGCCACGGCUAACUACGUG